rnacentral:rRNA from 1 species
ACCAGGGGAACUGAAACAUCUAAGUACCCUGAGGAAAAGAAAUCAACCGAGAUUCCCUUAGUAGUGGCGAGCGAACGGGGACUAGCCCUUAAGCUUCUUUGAAUCUAACAGAACGCUCUGGAAAGUGACGGCCAUAGUGGGUGAUAGCCCCGUAUGUGAAAGGUUCUUUGAAGUGAAAUCGAGUAGGACGGAGCACGAGAAACUUUGUCUGAAUAUGGGGGGACC